rnacentral:lncRNA from 1 species
UGAGCCUCAGUUUCCUCACCUGGCAAAUGGGGUGGGAAGACGCAAUGUGAUGUUUUCUUGCUAAAGAGCCUCAGCUGCUGCAGAAUGGGCCUGGGGGAAUCACCUCCUCCCCACCUUCCGCUUGGCCGGGCUGGCGCCUAACACGCGUAACUUCUCCCCUGCCAAGAGGAGACGCUGGUGGGAAGGCAGCCUGACUGCUGACAUCAGCCCAAUCUUGACUUCUAGGGAUCACUGCCGUGAACUUCUGGAAACACUGCACUAUU